AGGAGCAGUGACAGGAAUCGCUGGGUAGUGCCGGGGAGGGCAGGCGGCUGCAGUGUUUUGGCCGGUGCUGGUCAGUCUUGCCCCACACACUCUGAUAAUUAGUGUUUUCGUUGCAGUGUUUUGACCGGCGCUGGUCAGUCUUGCCCCACACACUAUGAUAAUCAGUGUUUUCGUAUUCCCGGCAGCUUCUCCCCGUACUAAGCACCGCCACACAGCACCAGAGAGCCACGAGUACGUAAGGAUGGAGAGUUUAGGAUACCACACGGAAGGGGGUGAAGAAGCCUUGGAGGGGCAGUGAUGGAGGGAGGCCUGGAGGUGAAGGAAAUGCAGAAAAUUCCUCUAAUACUGAGCGCUUCUCUGGUCAGACCAUCCUUCACUGAAUAUUUGGACCGAGGUUUCGAGAUACGAGGGUCCGCGCCUUCAGCCGAGUACACGCGGGAGGCGUUGUAAUAAUGGUGGGUGCUGUGUUUAGCAUGAAGAAGGUGAACGGGGUGUUGGGGAAGUUACCAAGGAGGUUACUGCCACUCCCACCCCUGCUACUACCUGCCCACGGGGACGCCCAGGCUGCUGCGCACAUACAACUGCUGGCAAAGAAGCCACUGACAAGCAUAUCCAUAGUCCACUAUCCAGCUCCAGUCUUCAGUCCCAGGGCAUAUAACGCAUCAGUCAUCUCCCCAGUAACUCAAGCCCAUCCUCAAGUGUUCGAUCUCUCCAGCUGCAUGCUCCACUCCAGAUCUUCCUUCACAGAGCAAACAUGCAAUAUCACGAAGGGUGCCGCAUGAAGCCUCGGAUCCACAUAUUGAAGUCUCGGUUAUGCUGAACCUUGCGUGGCUCCUAAGUGACGUAGCUGCCCUUACCCAUCUAUCCUGACCUCCGGGGCUUGCACCGCUUGUAAUUUGGUAUAUGCUUGGCACCACAGCAGGAAAUAUAUCAAGUCCCCAUUUCUCCACGGAAAGCCAGGAAGAGUGCAGGGCUGCCCAAUGAAAUUAGAAGUGCCUUUCAUUACAAUUUCUGCCACCUCCAAUCCAACACUUCCUCUGUUGCUUGCUCUGGCGAAGGGUUGUUGAGAAGAACACGGGCUGACAAUGGGAACAUGACCCUGAGGGUCUCGAAAGUAACUGAGGUGUUCAUCGCUGAAGGAUGAGAGAAUUCUGUUCAAGUAGCCCAACAUGAAGGUUUCUUUGGGCUUCGCUGAUUACAAUGUCAGGAGCAGGUUGGCUUCCCUGGAUCCUGAUUCAAGCAUGGAUGGGCCUUCAUGGACUAUCCAUUCCUCAGACUGAGUGCAAGUUUGGUCAUACUACCUCUUCACUGGAUUUUCCAGCAAACUGUAACACAGGAGAAAUACCCAGCAGAAUGAAAAAAAUCUGAAAUUGUAUCAAUAUUCAAGAAGUAGUCUCAUACUCCCCUAAACUAGACCAAUCUGUGUCACCUUUGUCUACUGCAAACCCCUAGAAAGACUAUAGCUGCAGCUGUAUAUGAUUUCCUUGGUUCCAACCAGCUUUUGUCCAAUGAUCAGUUUGGAUUUGAACAAGGAAGAACUGUUGAUUAUCAGUUACUUAUUGUGUAUAAUGAUAAAACCCUGUGGCUGGAUUCUGGUUAUGUUAUUGACUGUUAUUUGACUUCAACAAGGCCUUUGAUGACAUGAAUCAUGCUGUCUUCAUUGACAAACUGAGACUGUCAGAGUGGCUCCCUAGAUCUUGGACUGUAUCAACUAUGAAGGUAUCAAUGUUUGGUGUCCAUAGCUCCUCUACACCAGUAUGUAGUGGAGUUCUGUUCCACAGGGCUCCCUCACGGGUUCUCUGCUUACUUAUUUACAUCAGUCACUUGCCAACAUAUAUAACAACUAAAUGUAAAUUCUUUGCUGAUGACCUCAAGACAUACAUGAAGAUAUGCUAUUACUUAACAUCCCUAGUUUAGAAUGGAAGUUCCAUAUAUCUGGUGUGGUUUGUUACAUGCCCAAGAUACUGACCCUACUGACCCAGGACCCAGCACUAUUCAUUGUGUCUUCCUCACUUGCCUUCAAAUUAGUGUCAUUGACAGAGUGAAUGACUCCCCUUUCAGAUUAGUGUCAUUGACAGAGUGAAUGAAUCUCCUUUAAGUAUUAACUCCUCAUUCUCAUCCAUAUUAUUUCUGUAAAUUUUGGUAUUGUCUGCAAAGUUUUCCCUUUUCCAGCAAGUGAUUUAUACAGACCAGGAACAAUGUAGGAUCCAGUACACUCCUUUGUGGCACAACACUGCAUACCCUAAGCCACCUGUAUUGGGCUCCCUAAUGAAAAUUCUGUUACCUAUUGUGUGGAAAGUUUGCGAUCCACUGAAAGACAUUUCUCCUGUUGCCCACAGCCUCAAAUUCUCACCAAGAGUUUGUAUGGUAUGGAGUCGAAAGUCUUCUUACAGUUCAGAUAUACAACAUCGACAAUAUUGACACUUGCCUCCCUCACACAAAGUAUCCUCUAGAUCUUCCAAAUAUUCAAGUAAUUGUGAAAUGCAUGACUUGUUCCCUGAUCUGAACCCCAUGCUGGCUUUCACUUAAAAUAUUAUUCUUUUACAAGCGCUCUGCCAGAUGUUGCUGUAUUAAUCUUUAUAAUCUUACACACAACAGGCGUUAUGCUAACUGGUCAGUGAUUUAGGGCAUUAGAUUCUAUUCUUACUUUGGUCCAAUAUUCAUGUAUUAUUCCAUGUGUGAGUGUUGCUUAUAGCUGAAAAUUCAAUAGAUGGGGCAGAGUCGACGUGCAUUCUUUCGAAACUGGGAUAAGCUCAACCCAUGUACUCUGAGGUUGUGCCUGGCCACUACAGAGUUUAAUAUGCAGAGUUUAACAUGCCCUCCACAGUUUGUUGAAGAAAGGGAAAGAUUUAAUGCGAAAUGGAGAUGAGCAAUGGUUCUGCAUUUCUAACCAUUACAGCUUCGGGUGGCUAGCUUGGCGAAUUAACGGCUGCCAUUGUUUAUUUAGAAUGGCGAAUGUGGAGGCACAGUGUAGAACAAGGAAACUGAAUUUGAGCCUCCUCGGUGUGGAGAAUACCACAUAAUGGACUCCUUGGAUUUACCUCUAGCUUUAAGGUCCUGCCUAUCUCUUCAAUAACAGCCAAUUGCACCUUCUAACCAAAAUAUCUCCAUAAAUUCAAAACACUAAUGGGUUGGCUACUGACAUGCACGAGGCCCACCAACAGACCUAGUAAAUUAUAAUGAAAACACUGGCCACGUUUCCCAUCUUUGCCACUGCACUAUACAUCUUUGCUUCUUUGACGA